UUGGGAUAGCUCAGUYGGUAGAGCAGAGGACUGAAAAUCCUCGUGUCACCA
rnacentral:tRNA from 1 species